rnacentral:rRNA from 1 species
CCUACGGGGGGCAGCAGUGGGGGAUAUUGCACAAUGGGGGAAACCCUGAUGCAGCGACGCCGCGUGAGUGAAGAAGUAUUUCGGUAUGUAAAGCUCUAUCAGCAGGGAAGAAAAUGACAGUCCCUGACUAAGAAGCCCCGGCUAACUACGUGCCAGCAGCCGCGGUAAUACGUAGGGGGCAAGCGUUAUCCGGAUUUACUGGGUGUAACGGGAGCGUAGACGGUUUUGUAAGUCAGGAGUGAAAGCCCGGGGCCCAACCCCGGGACUGCUUUGGAAACUGUGUAACUGGAGUACAGGAGGGGCAGGCGGAAUGCCUGGUGUAGCGGUGAAAUGCGUAGAUAUCAGGAGGAACACCGGCGGCGAAGGCGGCCUGCUGGACUGAAACUGACGUUGAGGCUCGAAAGCGUGGGGAGCAAACAGGAUUAGAUACCCUGGUAGUC